AUUGAACGCUGGCGGCAUGCUUUACACAUGCAAGUCGAACGGUAACAGGGAGCUUGCUCCGCUGACGAGUGGCGAACGGGUGAGUAAUAUAUCGGAACGUACCCAAGCGUGGGGGAUAACGUAGCGAAAGUUACGCUAAUACCGCAUACGAUCUAAGGAUGAAAGCAGGGGACCUUCGGGCCUUGUGCUCCUGGAGCGGCCGAUAUCUGAUUAGCUAGUUGGUGAGGUAAAGGCUCACCAAGGCGACGAUCAGUAGCUGGUCUGAGAGGACGACCAGCCACACUGGAACUGAGACACGGUCCAGACUCCUACGGGAGGCAGCAGUGGGGAAUUUUGGACAAUGGGCGCAAGCCUGAUCCAGCAAUGCCGCGUGAGUGAAGAAGGCCUUCGGGUUGUAAAGCUCUUUUGUCAGGGAAGAAACGGGAUUGGCUAAUAUCCAGUCCUAAUGACGGUACCUGAAGAAUAAGCACCGGCUAACUACGUG
rnacentral:rRNA from 1 species